GGGUUGUGAGGUUAAGCGACUAAGCGUACACGGUGGAUGCCCUGGCAGUCAGAGGCGAUGAAGGGCGUGCUAAUCUGCGAUAAGCGCCGGUAAGGUGAUAUGAACCGUUAUAACCGGCGAUACCCGAAUGGGGAAACCCAGUGUGACUCGUCACACUAUCAUUAACUGAAUCCAUAGGUUAAUGAGGCGAACCGGGGGAACUGAAACAUCUAAGUACCCCGAGGAAAAGAAAUCAACCGAGAUUCCCCCAGUAGCGGCGAGCGAACGGGGAGGAGCCCAGAGCCUGAAUCAGCAUGUGUGUUAGUGGAAGCGUCUGGAAAGGCGCGCGAUACAGGGUGACAGCCCCGUACACAAAAGCGCAUGUGCUGUGAGCUCGAUGAGUAGGGCGGGACACGUGGUAUCCUGUCUGAAUAUGGGGGGACCAUCCUCCAAGGCUAAAUACUCCUGACUGACCGAUAGUGAACCAGUACCGUGAGGGAAAGGCGAAAAGAACCCCGGCGAGGGGAGUGAAAAAGAACCUGAAACCGUGUACGUACAAGCAGUGGGAGCCCCACCACCAAAGCAUUCUCUGGUGUUGAAGGCCCUGCAAAGCAGCAUCGCGGUGGCGGAGCGUCGUUUGCGACGCCCAACACACAAAACAAGCGGUGAAUGCUUUGGGGUGGGGUGACUGCGUACCUUUUGUAUAAUGGGUCAGCGACUUAUAUUCUGUAGCAAGGUUAACCGAAUAGGGGAGCCGGAGGGAAACCGAGUCUUAAUUGGGCGUUAAGUUGCAGGGUAUAGACCCGAAACCCGGUGAUCUAGCCAUGGGCAGGUUGAAGGUUGGGUAACACUAACUGGAGGACCGAACCGACUAAUGUUGAAAAAUUAGCGGAUGACCUGUGGCUGGGGGUGAAAGGCCAAUCAAACCGAGAGAUAGCUGGUUCUCCCCGAAAGCUAUUUAGGUAGCGCCUCGUGAAUUCAUCUCCGGGGGUAGAGCACUGUUUCGGCUAGGGGGCCAUCCCGGCUUACCAACCCGAUGCAAACUGCGAAUACCGGAGAAUGUUAUCACGGGAGACACACGGCGGGUGCUAACGUCCGUCGUGAAGAGGGAAACAACCCAGACCGCCAGCUAAGGUCCCAAAGUCAUGGUUAAGUGGGAAACGAUGUGGGAAGGCCCAGACAGCCAGGAUGUUGGCUUAGAAGCAGCCAUCAUUUAAAGAAAGCGUAAUAGCU
rnacentral:rRNA from 1 species